rnacentral:rRNA from 1 species
GACGAACGCUGGCGGCGUGCUUAACACAUGCAAGUCGAACGGAAAGGCCCUGCUUUUGUGGGGUGCUCGAGUGGCGAACGGGUGAGUAACACGUGAGUAACCUGCCCUUGACUUUGGGAUAACUUCAGGAAACUGGGGCUAAUACCGGAUAGGAGCUCCUGCUGCAUGGUUGGGGUUGGAAAGUUUCGGCGGUUGGGGAUGGACUCGCGGCUUAUCAGCUUGUUGGUGGGGUAGUGGCUUACCAAGGCUUUGACGGGUAGCCGGCCUGAGAGGGUGACCGGCCACAUUGGGACUGAGAUACGGCCCAGACUCCUACGGGAGGCAGCAGUGGGGAAUAUUGCACAAUGGGCGGAAGCCUGAUGCAGCAAAGCAGCGUGCGGGAUGACGGCCUUCGGGUUGUAAACCGCUUUCGCCUGUGACGAAGCGUGAGUGACGGUAAUGGGUAAAGAAGCACCGGCUAACUACGUG